rnacentral:lncRNA from 1 species
UUUGAGAGAACAUUUGAUGCUAUACGAUAGUUUUCGUGGAGAUAGCUUGUCGACCCAUUUUUCAAUACCGAGAGGUGGUGUUCACGAUAAAUAGUGUUGAACUACUGAAGAUGUUGUCUACACCAUCUCGACAAAUUUAAAGAUGUAAAAUAUUUUUACUAAUUUCAUUAUUUGACAUAUCAGACAUAUUUAUUUAUUUUCUGACAAAAUAUCAGACAUAUUUCAAAACAAUGAAUUCAAAGAUGAACAAAUUGGCACACAUGGUAUUGUCUUUUUAUCAGUUAUGAUCUAUGUCGAUUUUCCCCG